GACGAACGCUGGCGGCGUGCCUAACACAUGCAAGUCGAGCGGGAACCUCAGGAGGGGUAACCCUUCUGAGGGGAGAGCGGCGAACGGGUGAGUAACACGUGGGCAACCUGCCCCGGACACCGGGAUAACCCAGGGAAACCUGAGCUAAUACCGGAUACUCCGGCGUGAUCGCAUGGUCGCGCCGGGAAAGCUCCGACGGUCCGGGAUGGGCCCGCGGCCUAUCAGCUUGUUGGUGGGGUAACGGCCCACCAAGGCGACGACGGGUAGCUGGUCGGAGAGGACGGCCAGCCACACUGGGACUGAGACACGGCCCAGACUCCUACGGGAGGCAGCAGUGGGGGAUCUUGCGCUAAUGCGCGAAAGCGUGACGCAGCGACGCCGCGUGGGGGAUGUAGGCCCUCGGGUUGUAAACCCCUUUCGGCAGGGACGAAGGGAAACUGACGGUACCUGCAGAAGAAGUCCCGGCUAACUACGUGCCAGCCGCCGCCGUAAUAC
rnacentral:rRNA from 1 species